rnacentral:rRNA from 1 species
AGCAGCCGCGGUAAUUCCAGCUCCAAUAGCGUAUAUUAAAGUUGUUGCAGUUAAAAAGCUCGUAGUUGAAUUUCGAGAUCGGUUUAUUGGUCGUGCUAUUGUACGUACUGGUAUUACCGGUUUCUCCUUUCUGACGAACCUUAAUGCCAUUAAUUUGGUGUUUUUGGGAAAUCAGGACUGUUACUUUGAAAAAAUUAGAGUGUUUAAAAGCAGGCUCACGCUUGAAUACAUUAGCAUGGAAUAACGGAAUAGGACGUUUGAUUCUAUUUUGUUGGUUUCUAGGAUCGACGUAAUGAUUAACAGGGAUAGUUGGGGGCAUUAGGUAUUCAAUUGUCAGAGGUGAAAUUCUUGGAUUUAUUGAAGACUAACUACUGCGAAAGUAUUUGCCAAGGAUGUUUUCAUUAAUCAAGAACGAAAGUUAGGGGAUCGAAGACGAAUCAGAUACCGUGUAGUCUUAACCAUAAACUNUNCGACUAGGAUCGGAUGAUGUUAAUUUUUAUGUACUNAUUCGGCGUCCUUA